UGGCGACCGGCGCACGGGUGAGUAACACGUAUGCAACCUGGCCGUGACAGAUGGAUAACCGGGAGAAAUCCCGCCUAAUACAACAUAAUGCCGGGAGGGGACAUCCCCUGCCGGUCAAAGGGGGCGACCCCGGUCAUGGAUGGGCAUGCGGCGCAUUAGGUAGUUGGUGGGGCAACGGCCCACCAAGCCGACGAUGCGUAGGGGUUCUGAGAGGAAGGUCCCCCACAUUGGAACUGAGACACGGUCCAAACUCCUACGGAAGGCAGCAG
rnacentral:rRNA from 1 species